rnacentral:lncRNA from 1 species
UUUCAUUUCAUCUCAUAUUUUUGAUAUCAUUUUUCAUCUCAUUUCAUCUCAAUUCAUCUCAUCAUUUCAUCUCCUCAUCUCAUCAUUUCCUCCUUUCAUUACAACAUUUCAUCUCAUUUCUUCUCAUCUCAUUUCAAUUUCAUUAUUUCAUCUCAUUUCAUCUCAAUUCAUCUCAUCAUUUCAUCUCCUCAUCUCAUCAUUUCCUCCUUUCAUUACAACAUUUCAUCUCAUUUCUUCUCAUCUCAUUUCAAUUUCAUUAUUUCAUCUCAUUUCAUUAUUUCACCUAAUUUCAUUAUUUCAUCUCAUCUCAUCUCAGUUCAUCUGAUCUCAUUUCAUCUCAGCAUUUCAUC